rnacentral:rRNA from 1 species
UACGUAGGGGGCAAGCGUUGUCCGGAAUCAUUGGGCGUAAAGAGCGUGUAGGUGGCUCGGUAAGUCCGCUGUAAAAGUCCAGGGCUCAACCCUGGAAAGCCGGUGGAAACUGUCGAGCUAGAGUCCGGAAGAGGCGAGUGGAAUUCCUGGUGUAGCGGUGAAAUGCGCAGAUAUCAGGAGGAACACCAAUGGCGAAGGCAGCUCGCUGGGACGGUACUGACGCUGAGACGCGAAAGCGUGGGGAGCAAACAGG